UACAGAGGUGCCGAGCGUUAGGCGGAAUCACUGGGCUUAAAGCGCGUGUAGGCGGGUCGUUAAGUGUCCGCGUGAAAUCCCACGGCUCAACCGUGGAACUGCUGGGCAUACUGCCGAUCUUGAGCCACUUAGGGGCAACCGGAACAAACGGUGGAGCGGUGAAAUGCGUAGAUAUCGUUUGGAACGCCAAUGGUGAAAACAGGUUGCUGGGAGUGUGCUGACGCUGAGACACGAAAGCCAGGGGAGCGAACGGG
rnacentral:rRNA from 1 species